rnacentral:misc_RNA from 1 species
ACUAAGCCUUUUUGAGUUGUUGCACUUCUCGUUACGUCGGUGGCACAUGGAGGUAUUUUGGGGGCUCAUUUUACAUUGGCUUUUAUACAGGGCUGAGCCAAGCAGCUUCAUUAUACGUUGCUUUUUGACUAUCUACUUGCGCUGUGUCUCUGUGCGACCUGUCCCUAGAUCUCGCUCAUAUAUAGCCAUAUUUUUUUUUUACCAAAAAGGAUAAGUUUGCUUUUUUGUAUCUUUUUUAUCAAGCACUUAGCAGGCGAUGUUAUUUUAUUAUUAUUGAAAGUAGGAAAAUGAUGAACCCAAAUCACUAACUUAGUUUGCAUUUUUAUAGCAUUUUUAUUUAUGGUUUUUCUCUUUGAGUUUUCAUAAAACUUUGUUAUGUUCUAUGAUAUAUGAUCUCAUUUUGGUGCUAAAUGUUCCAAGAACUUUUUAAUGUCUAUAGGAAAAGGAUCUCCAAAUAAGUGCGCCACCCAAAAUAGUUCCUAGUGCCAAAGAUGUAAUGGGCAUUGUAAUAGUACUUAACCAUCUCUUUGCCUAUUGGCUGCUAGGUAAUAUGCAAUGCUGGGUAACCAAUCACAAGCUUCCGCUGCUUCAAAAGUAGCCAAUCAAACGAUUGGUCUGUAGCCGGAACUAGCCAAUCCCAGCAUGCCUUAGAUUUGCACUCUAAAUGCCGCAUUUUUAAGUGUUCGUGUUGCGAGAACUACAUGGGAGAAGCCAAAGGCUUAUGUCUUCCAAGUCUUGUGUCAUAAUUUUUUUUCUUACGAGUGAAACUCGAAUAAAGAUCUUUUUAUCGUUAUUUAUCGACAACUUGUGAGAAGUGAAUUAAGGAGAGUCGCAAUUUGUUUUAUGAUUUUGUUACGAGAUAUUUGUAAAUAGAUAUUUUUUUGGUUUAUGGAUAUUCCUUUUUUCAAUUCCAAGAAAAAUAAGUUCAACAAACUGUUGUAGUCAAUAAACUUAUUUUUUAAAG